rnacentral:rRNA from 1 species
AAAAUCCACAGAUCUUGGGGAAAUACGAUAGUACUCGGAGUCUUCGGACAAAGAGAUAGUGCGCCUAAGGGCUUCCAAGAAAAACCUCUAAACUUCAGGUAAUUAGUACCAGUACCGUAAACCGACACAGGUAGUUGAGGAGAGAAUCCUAAGGUGCUCGAGAGAUUCAUGGCUAAGGAAUUAGGCAAAAUAGACCUGUAACUUCGGGAGAAAGGUCGCCAGCGCAAGCUGGCCGCAGUGAAGAGGUCCAGGCGACUGUUUAUCAAAAACACAGGGCUCUGCAAAAUCGUAAGAUGAAGUAUAGGGCCUGACACCUGCCCGGUGCUGGAAGGUUAAGAGGAGAUGUUAUCUUCGGAGAAGCAUUGAAUUGAAGCCCCAGUAAACGGCGGCCGUAACAAUAACGGUCCUAAGGUAGCGAAAUUCCUUGUCGGGUAAGUUCCGACCUGCACGAAUGGUGUAACGAUCUGGACACUGUCUCAGCCAUGAGCUCGGUGAAAUUGUAGUAACGGUGAAGAUGCCGUUUACCCGCAGUGGGACGAAAAGACCCUGUGCACCUUUACUAUAGCUUAGUAUUGACCUUGGAUAAAUGAUGUGUAGGAUAGGUUGGAGACUGUGAAGUGGCGUCGCCAGGCGUUGUGGAGUCAUUGUUGAAAUACAACCCUUUGUUUAUCUGAGGCCUAACCCCGUUUUGCGGGGGACAUUGCUUGGUGGGUAGUUUGACUGGGGUGGUCGCCUCCAAAAGAGUAACGGAGGCUUCUAAAGGUUCCCUCAGUACGCUUGGUAACCGUGCGUAGAGUGCAAUGGCAUAAGGGAGCUUGACUGAGAGACAUACAGGUCGAUCAGGUACGAAAGUAGAGCAUAGUGAUCCGGUGGUUCCGCAUGGAAGGGCCAUCGCUCAAAGGAUAAAAGGUACGCCGGGGAUAACAGGCUGAUCUCCCCCAAGAGCUCAUAUCGACGGGGGGGUUUGGCACCUCGAUGUCGGCUCGUCCCAUCCUGAGGCUGGAGAAGGUCCCAAGGGUUGGGCUGUUCGCCCAUUAAAGUGGCACGCGAGCUGGGUUCAGAACGUCGUGAGACAGUUCGGUCUCUAUCUACUGUGGGCGUUAGAAAUUUGAGUGGAUCUGAUUCUAGUACGAGAGGACCGAAUUGGACAAACCUCUAGUGUAUCUGUUGUCCCCCAGGGGCACCGCAGAGUAGCUACGUUUGGAAGGGAUAAGCGCUGAAAGCAUAUAAGCGCGAAACCCACCACAAGAUGAGAUUUCUUUUAAGGAUCGUGGAAGAUGACCACGUUGAUAGGCUAUAGAUGUAAAGGCAGUAAUGUCAUAGUCGAGUAGUACUAAUAAUCC